rnacentral:misc_RNA from 1 species
AACCUAGCACACCUGCGGUGUGUACCUGCGGAGGGAUCAUUACAGAGUGUUCCACCCCCCCGGUAAAAUGGGGGGGUUUAACCUCCCGUCCUUUGCUAGGACCCCCCGUUUUAGAGGGUCUUUCAAAUCUUUCUGCUUCGGCGGGGUUAACCCGCCGGGACACCCUCAAAAAAAUUCUUGGUUAAACUUGUUCGGUCCGAGAAACUUGUGGGAAAAUUAUUGAAAACUUUUAGCAAUGGA